rnacentral:tRNA from 3 species
UAGAAUAUGGUGUAAUAGGAAACACGGAGGGUUUUGAUCUCUUAGAUGUAGGUUCAAGUCCUAUUUUUCUAA